AAUCAACGCUGGCGGCGUGCCUAACACAUGCAAGUCGAACGCGAAAGGGACUUCGGUCCUGAGUAGAGUGGCGUACGGGUGAGUAACACGUGGGUAAUCUACCUCCGAGUGGGGAAUAACUCAGGGAAACUUGAGCUAAUACCGCAUAAUGCAGCAAUGUUAAAGCAGCAAUGCGCUUGGAGAGGAGCCUGCGCCUGAUUAGGUAGUUGGUGAGGUAAUGGCUCACCAAGCCUGCGAUCAGUAGCUGGUCUGAGAGGACGGCCAGCAACAAUGGCACUGAAACACGGGCCAUACUCCUACGGGAGGCAGCAGUGGGGAAUUUUGCGCAAUGGACGAAAGUCUGACGCAGCAACGCCGCGUGAAGGAUGAAAUCUCUCGGGAUGUAAACUUCGCAAGUGUGGGAAGAAAAAAAUGACGGUACCACAUGUAAGCCCCGGCUAACUCCGUGCCAGCAGCCGCCGUAA
rnacentral:rRNA from 1 species